CUCAUCCUUAGCAGAACCCACUCUGGCCAUGUCUGGAUGUAAGGAACCCACAGAGCUUGAUGGUUCAGUUACCUGCAAUCAACUGCGGUCUGAAAAUAUAUAAUGGAAAACUCCAAGAAGAACCCAUCCAUGAGUUAUGAACUGUACCAUGCUGACUCCCUGGAGGAAGGGACUGACAUGAAUAAGGAGGGGAUGUGUGGCCCCAGCCUCAGGAAGCCAGAGCACAGGACCAGACUCUGAGGACUUGGUGAACACACCGGCAUCUCUGUCUCCUUCACAAGGUGCUCUCUCCCCUGCUGUGGCCCAACAGGAUGAUUGAUGGGAGAGGGUCCUGGGGGCUUGGCUGAGAGGGUGGCAGAGAAGAACGGUUAGGGGAGACCACUCCUCAC
rnacentral:lncRNA from 1 species